rnacentral:lncRNA from 1 species
GACUUUGCUCGCAAUAGUGCAUCUAUAGAAAGGAUUCUAUGUUCUUCCUUCCCAUUUAUAUAAAUCUUUAACAUCCUUUAAAAUUCACCUUGUAUUUCCUUCCUUUAGGAACUUUCUUCCCUAGACAAACCAGUUUGCCCCGCCUAAGUGGACUUCCUCCGAGCUCCUUGCUUAUAUCUUUCAUUUUGCUCUUAUGAAUUGACUUGAUCUGUUACUUCUCUUUUCAAAAGUUUAUGUGCUUCUUCUGUGUUGUUUCACUGGGAAGACAUUCCUGAGGAAGGGGGACUAUAGGACCAGCUGAAAGGAACACGGAGACGACUAAAAAAAUAACAGAACACGUCACAGAAGGUUAUCACAUUGACUCUUUGCUACAAAUAAAGGAAUGUUACGAUACUUUGAGGGCCAGGCUAUUUCCAACUAUGAGUGAAAUGCUGCAUCACGAGAAAAAUGGAGCUUUCUCACUGUUCACCUUGUUUGGGAAUCAGUCAAGCAACAGCAUUGUUCGGGAGUGUGUGAGAGAGCGCCAUGCUCCUUGCCUGGGGAGAAAGCACUCCGUAAGAAAAGCUUCAGGUUUUAUCCAACAGGCAACUUACUGAAAUAAGACACGGAGGAAAACAACAAAAGAACACAGGACAUUAAGGACACAUUCAACUAAAUCUAAAGACUAAAUGCAAAAUAAAAUAACUGUGGGUACAGCACACUUCUGCAACGCAGGAGUGAACAGAGAACGGCUAGGAGUCAAUGUUAAUUCCUUGUGUGUGUCUUUGUAUUUCUAGUGCCUAGCUCAGAGCAGGACACAUGGUACCCACUGAAAGAAAGAAUGAAAGGAACCACAAAAGGCAGACAGGGAGGAAGGAAGGGAAAGGCAGAGAAAGAAUGAAGGAGAAAGGAGGGAGAGUGAGAAAGAAAAGAAAGAUUUCUGAAAUGUACAAGAGGUGAGAGGCAGAGUGUGCAGAGAAGAAAAGCUUGGGUGAGAGAAUAUUCAUGGACCUGAUAAGAGCAGGCUCGCUUAAU